rnacentral:lncRNA from 1 species
GACUCGAAAGGCCUUAUCGUUCGCGUGAAUUAAAAUCGUAAGACUUGAAAAUAAAAAUUAAUUAAUUGAAUGUGUGAAUAAAAUAUAAACAUGCAAAAGAGAAUGAUUCAAUUGACAAGAAGAAAACAAUGGAUGAAUGGAGUUGUUGGGGGUUUACAAUUUCAUCUAAUCCGCUCUCUCUUAUUUACUCCUCUUGAAUUAUUAGCUUGAUUAAUUAAUUGUCAUGCAACUUUCUUAGCGUACCCUUAACCCGAUCCCUCGGCGAAAAGAGCCUAAUACUAAUCACUGGCUUGCUAUCCCUAGCCUCCCCUAGCA